GUGCUCGCUUCGGCAGCACGUGUACUAAAAUUGGAACGAUACAGAGAAGAUGAGCACGGCCAGGCGUGACAUGCAAAUUUGUGAAGCGUCCCAUAUUUUA
rnacentral:snRNA from 1 species